GAUGAACGCUGGCGGCGUGCCUAAUACAUGCAAGUCGAGCGAACGGACGAGAAGCUUGCUUCUCUGAUGUUAGCGGCGGACGGGUGAGUAACACGUGGAUAACCUACCUAUAAGACUGGGAUAACUUCGGGAAACCGGAGCUAAUACCGGAUAAUAUUUUGAACCGCAUGGUUCAAAAGUGAAAGACGGUCUUGCUGUCACUUAUAGAUGGAUCCGCGCUGCAUUAGCUAGUUGGUAAGGUAACGGCUUACCAAGGCAACGAUGCAUAGCCGACCUGAGAGGGUGAUCGGCCACACUGGAACUGAGACACGGUCCAGACUCCUACGGGAGGCAGCAGUAGGGAAUCUUCCGCAAUGGGCGAAAGCCUGACGGAGCAACGCCGCGUGAGUGAUGAAGGUCUUCGGAUCGUAAAACUCUGUUAUUAGGGAAGAACAUAUGUGUAAGUAACUGUGCACAUCUUGACGGUACCUAAUCAGAAAGCCACGGCUAACUACGUGCCAGCAGCCGCGGUAAUACGUAGGUGGCAAGCGUUAUCCGGAAUUAUUGGGCGUAAAGCGCGCGUAGGCGGUUUUUUAAGUCUGAUGUGAAAGCCCACGGCUCAACCGUGGAGGGUCAUUGGAAACUGGAAAACUUGAGUGCAGAAGAGGAAAGUGGAAUUCCAUGUGUAGCGGUGAAAUGCGCAGAGAUAUGGAGGAACACCAGUGGCGAAGGCGACUUUCUGGUCUGUAACUGACGCUGAUGUGCGAAAGCGUGGGGAUCAAACAGGAUUAGAUACCCUGGUAGUCCACGCCGUAAACGAUGAGUGCUAAGUGUUAGGGGGUUUCCGACCCUUAGUGCUGCAGCUAACGCAUUAAGCACUCCGCCUGGGGAGUACGACCGCAAGGUUGAAACUCAAAGGAAUUGACGGGGACCCGCACAAGCGGUGGAGCAUGUGGUUUAAUUCGAAGCAACGCGAAGAACCUUACCAAAUCUUGACAUCCUUUGACAACUCUAGAGAUAGAGCCUUCCCCUUCGGGGGACAAAGUGACAGGUGGUGCAUGGUUGUCGUCAGCUCGUGUCGUGAGAUGUUGGGUUAAGUCCCGCAACGAGCGCAACCCUUAAGCUUAGUUGCCAUCAUUAAGUUGGGCACUCUAAGUUGACUGCCGGUGACAAACCGGAGGAAGGUGGGGAUGACGUCAAAUCAUCAUGCCCCUUAUGAUUUGGGCUACACACGUGCUACAAUGGACAAUACAAAGGGCAGCGAAACCGCGAGGUCAAGCAAAUCCCAUAAAGUUGUUCUCAGUUCGGAUUGUAGUCUGCAACUCGACUACAUGAAGCUGGAAUCGCUAGUAAUCGUAGAUCAGCAUGCUACGGUGAAUACGUUCCCGGGUCU
rnacentral:rRNA from 1 species